CCGUUAAUAUUCUCAGGUUAAUCCGGCGCGUUACCU
rnacentral:sRNA from 1 species